GACUUACCCAGCAACCAGGAGGCUUGCUGCACCAGGGCUGUGCUUUCAGAUGCACAUGAAGUCUCAUCAUCUCUGGAUGCAGCCUAAAAUGCUGGUGAUUGGAAAGAUGAAGUCGCACAGCCAAAGGCCUCCAGAAAAUAUUUUGGUAUAAUUCAUUAUCAUGCUAAGAAGCUGACCCAGUUACAAAAACAGCUACGUGAAGGGAGAGAUGCCUCUUUGUCCCUUGGGCUGCAUCUGGAGUCUCUCCUCACCCAAGAUGAUCCUGAAGACUACCAGGAUCAGGGCCACAUGCAACA